rnacentral:SRP_RNA from 1 species
GCCGGGCGCGGUGGCGCGUGCCUGUAGUCCCAGCUACUCGGGAGGCUGAGGCUGGAGGAUCCCUUGAGUUCAGGAGUUCUGGGCUGUAGUGCGCUAUGCCGAUCGGGUGUCCGCACUAAGUUCGGCAUCAAUAUGGUGACCUCCCGGGAGCGGGGGACCACCAGGUUGCCUAAGGAGGGGUGAACCGGCCCAGGUCGGAAACGGAGCAGGUCAAAACUCCCGUGCUGAUCAGUAGUGGGAUUGCGCCUGUGAAUAGCCACUGCACUCCAGCCUGGGCAACAUAGUGAGACCCUGCCUCUU